AGAAAAAUCCUGCAUUGA
rnacentral:snRNA from 1 species